UGUUAAUUUUGCCCAAUGUUUUUUUAAACUCCCGCCCCCUCUUCCUUUACUUUCCUCACGGUGAGAGAGAUCGAGACCGAAAUGCAGUCCACCAAGGCUACUAAUCUUCACUUCAGAGGAGCAAGGAUUUGGCUUGCUGUCAUUGAGGAUCUAUUAUCAAAAGGAAUGAGAAAUGCUGAAAAUGCUGUUCUCUCUGGUUGUUCGGCUGCAUGGUGGAUUGACUUCUAUUUUGCAUUGCGAAAGCUUCCGAGCUCUCGUUCCUAUUGGUACUAAGGAGGGAUGUUUCUGGAGCACAACACAUUGAAGCAUUCUAUAGUGAAGUGGUUGCAACACAUGCAUUGAUGCUCUCUGUUUCUCUCUCCCUCUCUAUAACUUCUAUGCUGCAAUUUUAUGAUUUUAGCUUUGUAUACUGCUUUGGAUAGGCAAUUUAUCUUUCAGUUCUUUCUACCAUUUCCUACCGUAUAAAAAAAAAAAAAAAAAAUCUUGUUACAGUUGCUCACUUAUUCAAGUGUUUCUCUUGUUUACAUGUCUAGCAAGAAAAUGUUACCUAUUCUUUCCUUGUGUCUCUCUUUCAACAAAAGGCCAGGAGAGCUCCAUUUUGAUUCUACCUGGUUACAAGAUCAUUGCAUUUUCUGUAGUCAUUAAUGUC